AACGUAGGAGACAAACGUUAUCCGGAGUUACUGGGCGUAAAGGGCGUGUAGGUGGUUUCGUAAGUCUGGCGUGAAAUUUUUCGGCUUAACCGGGAAAGGUCGUCGGAUACUGCGGAACUAGAGGACGGUAGAGGCGUGUGGAAUUCCGGGUGUAGUGGUGAAAUGCGUAGAGAUCCGGAGGAACACCAGUGGCGAAGGCGACACGCUGGGCCGUACCUGACACUGAUGCGCGACAGCAUGGGGGAGCAAACAGG
rnacentral:rRNA from 1 species